rnacentral:rRNA from 1 species
GGGAGAAGUGUUGUUAAGGGACUCGGCAAAAUGACUCCGUAACUUCGGGAGAAGGAGUGCUGCGCAAGCAGCCGCAGAGAAAUGGCCCAAGCAACUGUUUAGCAAAAACACAGGUCUAUGCGAAACCGAAAGGUGAGGUAUAUGGGCUGACGCCUGCCCGGUGCUGGAAGGUUAAGGGGAGAGCUUAGCGCAAGCGAAGGUUUGAACUUAAGCCCCAGUAAACGGCGGCCGUAACUAUAACGGUCCUAAGGUAGCGAAAUUCCUUGUCGGGUAAGUUCCGACCCGCACGAAAGGCGUAAUGAUUUGGGCACUGUCUCAACAACACACCCGGUGAAAUUGAAAUACCAGUGAAGAUGCUGGUUACCCGCGCCAGGACGGAAAGACCCCAUGGAGCUUUACUCCAGCCUGAUACUGGGAUUCGGUAUUGCAUGUACAGGAUAGGUGGGAGGCUAAGAACUUAUGGCGCCAGCCGUGAGGGAGCCGAUGUUGGGAUACCACCCCUGCAGUACUGGGUUUCUAACCUGCGCCCGUGACCCGGGCGGGGGACAAUGUCAGGCGGGGAGUUUGACUGGGGCGGUCGCCUCCGAAAGGGUAUCGGAGGCGCUCAAAGUUCUCCUCAGGAUGGUUGGAAACCAUCCAGAGAGUGCAAAGGCAGAAGGAGGCUUGACUGCGACACCGACGGGUGGAGCAGGUACGAAAGUAGGACUUAGUGAUCCGGUGGCAUAAAGUGGGAUUGCCAUCGCUCAACGGAUAAAAGCUACCCUGGAUAACAGGCUUAUCACUCCCAAGAGUUCACAUCGACGGAGUGGUUUGGCACCUCGAUGUCGGCUCAUCGCAUCCUGGAGCUGGAGCAGGUUCCAAGGGUUGGGCUGUUCGCCCAUUAAAGCGGUACGCGAGCUGGGUUCAGAACGUCGUGAGACAGUUCGGUCCCUAUCCGGCGCGGGCGCAGGAUAUCUGAGAGGAGCUGUCCUUAGUACGAGAGGACCGGGAUGGACCGUCCGCUGGUGGACCGGUUGUCAUGCCAAUGGCACGGCCGGGUAGCCAAGACGGGAAGGGAUAAACGCUGAAGGCAUCUAAGCGUGAAGCCCCCCUCAAGAUGAGAUAUCCAUACUCGAAAGAGUGAGAGACCCCUUAGAGACGAUGAGGUAGAUAGGGCAGAGAUGGAAGCACAGCGAUGUGUGGAGUUGACUGUUACUAAUCGGUCGAUAGCU